rnacentral:rRNA from 1 species
UACGUAGGGUCCGAGCGUUGUCCGGAAUUAUUGGGCGUAAAGGGCUCGUAGGCGGUCUGUUGCGUCGGGAGUGAAAUCCCUGGGCUUAACCCAGGGCCUGCUUCCGAUACGGGCAGACUAGAGGCAUUCAGGGGAGAACGGAAUUCCUGGUGUAGCGGUGAAAUGCGCAGAUAUCAGGAGGAACACCGGUGGCGAAGGCGGUUCUCUGGGAAUGUUCUGACGCUGAGGAGCGAAAGUGUGGGGAGCGAACAGG